GCAAUAUAGCUCAGUUGGUUAGAGCAUGGUGCUGAUAAUGCCAAGGUUGUAGAUUUGAUCUCUGUAUGGCUCAGCUGCA